GGUGUGGUAGCUCAGUGGCAGAGCAACUUUCGUCAGCUCAGUGAGUCUUAGGUUCCAUUCCUUCCCAAACUU